rnacentral:rRNA from 1 species
GGCUUUUUGUAUAUAAUUUAAAGUCUGGCCUGCCCACUGAAGUUUUAAAGGGCCGCGGUAACUUGACCGUGCUAAGGUAGCAUAAUCAUUAGUUUUUUAAUUGAAAGCUGGUAUGAAUGGUUUGAUGAAAAAAUAACUGUCUCUAAUUUAUUUUAAUUGAAUUUUAUAUUUAAGUAAAAAAGCUUAAAUUUUUUUAAAAGACGAGAAGACCCUAUAGAGUUUUAUAAAUUUAAAUUUUAGCACUUUUAGGAUUUUUACUUUUAAAAUUUAAAUUUAUUUGAUUGGGGUGAUUGAAAAAUUUAAUAAACUUUUUUUUUAUUAGAAUAUUAAUUAGUAAAUUUUUGAUCCAUUAAUAAUGAUUAUAAGAUUAAAUUACCUUAGGGAUAACAGCGUAAUUUUUUUUGAGAGUUCAAAUCGAAAGAAAAGAUUGCGACCUCGAUGUUGGAUUAAAAUUAAUUUUUGGUGUAGAGGCUAAGAAUUUUAGGUCUGUUCGACCUUUAAAAUUU